CUAAACGUACCGUCGUUCGUCAAUUGAUCUGUGUUGUUGUUUACAGGAGGAUUAUCGCCAUCCUGUUGCACAUUGUCCUGAUUAUUGAUCUGUGGAGAAUCAACGGUCUCCUGUGCCCCAUUGCUAUUCUCAACAUUCUCAGAUGUCAUUUUCAGAUACUGCCACAAAACAAAGGUUAAUUGACAUGUAAUAUAUUAUCCCUAUAUUCAG
rnacentral:lncRNA from 1 species